rnacentral:rRNA from 1 species
UGAAUACGAGAUGCUACGGCGUCGAAGCAGUCUAUGUCAUACUUCCAAGAAAAGCUCGCACUGUCAUAAACAAAUAAUGCCUGUACCAUAACCGACACAGGUGGGUAGGUAGAGUAUACUAAGGGGCGCGAGAUAACUCUCUCUAAGGAACUCGGCAAAAUGACUCCGUAACUUCGGGAGAAGGAGUGCCUUAUUUAUAAGGUUGCAAUAACAAGAUCCAAGCAACUGUUUAUCAAAAACACAGGUCUCCGCUAAGUCGUAAGACGAUGUAUGGGGGCUGACGCCUGCCCAGUGCCAGAAGGUUAAAGAAGUUGGUUAGCAUUCGCGAAGCUGAUAACUGAAGCCCUGGUGAACGGCGGCCGUAACUAUAACGGUCCUAAGGUAGCGAAAUUCCUUGUCGGGUAAGUUCCGACCCGCACGAAAGGCGUAAUGAUUUGGAUACUGUCUCGGAGAGGGGCUCGGUGAAAUAGACUUGUCUGUGAAGAUGCGGACUACCUGCACCAGGACAGAAAGACCCUAUGAAGCUUUACUGUAACUUGAGAUUGAAAUUGGACUUUACUUGCGCAGUAUAGGUGGGAGGCGUUGAUAAUAUUCUUGCGGGAUUAUUUGAGCCAUCAGUGAGAUACCACUCUUGUAAUGUUAGAUUUCUAACUUUGUAUCAUUAUCUGGUCAAAGGACAGUUUCAGGCGGGCAGUUUGACUGGGGCGGUCGCCUCCUAAACGGUAACGGAGGCGCACAAAGGUUUCCUCUGAACGGGUAGAAAUCGUAUCUAGAGUGUAAAGGCAUAAGGAAGCUUGACUGUGAGACCUACAAGUCGAGCAGGGACGAAAGUCGGUCUUAGUGAUCUGACGGUGCUGAGUGGAAAGGCCGUCACUCAACGGAUAAAAGUUACUCUAGGAUAACAGGCUGAUCUCCCCCAAGAGUUCACAUCGACGGGGAGGUUUGGCACCUCGAUGUCGGCUCAUCGCAUCCUGGGGCGGUAGUACGUCCCAAGGGUUGGGCUGUUCGCCCAUGAAAGCGGUACGCGAGCUGGGUUCAGAACGUCGUGAGACAGUUCGGUCCAUAUCCGGUGUAGGCGUUAGAAUAUUGAGAGGAGCCUUCUUUAGUACGAGAGGACCGAGAAGGACAUACCUCUGGUGUACCAGUUAUCGUGCCAACGGUAAACGCUGGGUAGCUAUGUAUGGAGUGGAUAACCGCUGAAAGCAUCUAAGUGGGAAGCCCACCUCAAGAUAAGUAUUCGC